CUUUUAAAGGAUAACAGCUAAUCCACUGGUCUUAGGAACC
rnacentral:tRNA from 3 species